GAGCUCUUCCCGCGCCUCUACUCGUCGUUUUUAUCGAGUGGCUGUGUUGUGCGAGACACAGCUUCCAGGUUUAGAUUGGAUCCGUUCACCUCUUGGCCCUUGUUAGAACAGUCGCAGUAAAAGACCUGUUGCUUAUUGCACGCUUUUACGGCGUCUCGGUGCCAGGGAGAGCUCUUAAAGCGUGACAUAAAACCGCAGCUUCACUCAGAGCUCGUAAAGAGUGCGUCCUCUGUGUUUAGAGCGCAGGCUGGAGCCAAAGCCGAGGAACUGAGACGCAGAGAGCUCACCGAUGUUGAACUCAUGAUCGCCGCCAUGAUGACUCAACGCUCUCCAUUAGCUUGUGGAUAGGCGAUGUUUAUGGAGAUUUUUAUCCUGUUUACACGAUUAGAAGCUUUAUCGUUUGGAGCCGUACACUAUACGUCAACAACAAAAAAAGGAUUUUAAAAAGAAUACGAUGUUAAAUAAGGAGCAUCUAUAAUAAUAAUAAUAAUAAUAAUUUUGCGUAAGACGAACGCAAAAAAAGUCUCAGGAUGGACGUCUAGUCAUUCUUUUUUUUUAUGUCACAUUUUCUUUUACAACUUUACUUCACAGAAUAUUGGGUGAAAUGAUUUGGUUUCCUGUUUAAGCUGAGUAUUAUAUUAAAGUGCACCUAUUAUGGUUUUUCAGAUAUUCCCUUUCAUGUAGUGUGUUAUAUACUGUAAAAACUCUACAUUAGCACAGGACUAACGGAGUUACUGACUCUCAAAAGAAGGAAUCGAUUCUGAACAGCUGAAUCGAGUCGUUAGUGAUUCCGGACUUUAUUUCCUGUACUAACCCCCCGCCCCGCCUCUGGUCUUCAUCGGCCGCUCGCUGAUAGGCGGAGCUGAAACUCGUUACGGUGGUGGGCGUUUCCUGUUUGAAACACGCUAACAGCGGUAGACCAAUCACGACACACUGGGACGUCUGACCAAUCAGAGCAGAGUAUGCUCUCUGAAAGGAGGAGUUUAGAACGAAUCAUUGAACGAGUCGUUUGUGACACCGGGGGAAAAGGGUAACGCUGCUAUUUAAAUAUCUUUUGAUAUUUAAAACAAAAGCAAAAACACAACUGAAUUGAUUUAAGCAAAACCACCAACUAUGUGGAGCUUUUAACUUCACAGUGAGACAGAGAGAUGUUUUCAACCACCUAGCUCCUAAAGUGUGUUACAGGAUCUCUCACUGUCUGUCUGUAUGGAUUUUUAAAUUUAAUCUCGUGGAUUUUUACUGAGAAAUGCACAUUAUUCACCUUCUCACGGUCUCUGACAUCAGAGAAGAACCAUGAAAACAGAGACAAAAAUCAGACUGCGUCCAUGAUGAUUAUCUGUCUGUCUCUCGGUCUUUCUGUAUGUCAGUCUAUUCGUCUCCUGGUCUACUUAUCCAGGAGAACAGGACUGAUAUAAACACACACACACACACACACUCGCUCUCGCUCUCUUCUCCAGCAGAGAUCAUGAUUAUUGACCCGGUCGUCUCUGUCUGUCUCUCAGAGUUAAACAGAGCAGACGGCCUGAUAGUCUGAGUUUAGCGUAGCGUAGCUGCUUUUAACCUGUUAAACCCUGUAACAUACGUUAACACACCUUACACCUGACACACACAUCUCUCACACGGUCUGUCAGAGGCAUCAGCAGUGUGAGCGUGAACGUCCGAGAAGAUUACAGCGCUACUGGACUGAAACUCCGGCCUCGUACACAUGGUUGGACGUCGUGUAGAACGGCUUUACUGUAUACAGCUCCAGCAUCUGCAGGCGAGGUCGUACUUUACAGAGUCUUUGUUCUGGUGAUGAUGAGAUCCAGCUGGUAUACUUUCAUGGCUCAAAUCCACGGCCUCCGAGGCGGGAUGGUCAAGCAUUGAAAGGCGGAACUUUUCACGGUCUUCUCUGGGAGUGUAAAUACACACAGCAGACUUCAUCACACAUGACCGAGCGCGAGAUCGACGGCUGAGAGUGUGCGUGAGAGAGAGACAGAAAGUGAGACAGAUUUAGGCUUUACUCAGGCAUGAAGUGAUGCACGACAACAGCUGAAACGGGCCGUGGAGAUGAUCUCUCUCUCUCUCUCUCUCUCUCUCUCUCUCUCUCUCUCUCUCUCUGUAACUGACUAAACAAAUAAAAUCGUGUCUAGUUAAUUUAGAACAAAACAAAAUGAAAACAAAAUGAAAGUAAAUAAACAAAGAAUAAUACAUAGUCAUGUCUAAUUAGUUUUUUUAAUUAAAACAGUGUUUAUAAUAAUUAAACUGUAUUAAAAUGUGAAACAGAUGUACACUCAAUGUUUUUUCAUGAAAUCUUAUGUGCUUGUAUAUAAACGACAAAAAUAUCUACCUCACACCUGUUUAAUUUUUUAAAAAAAUAUAUAUUUGAUGCUCAAAGAUCAAUUUUAAACAAAGAUGAAGAAGAGAUCUA